GAUGAACGCUAGCUACAGGCUUAACACAUGCAAGUCGAGGGGAAACGAUAGAGAAAGCUUGCUUUUUCUAGGCGUCGACCGGCGCACGGGUGAGUAACGCGUAUCCAACCUGCCCAUCACUUGGGGAUAACCUUGCGAAAGUAAGACUAAUACCCAAUGAUAUCUCAAGAAGACAUCUGAAUGAGAUUAAAGAUUUAUCGGUGAUGGAUGGGAUGCGUCUGAUUAGCUUGUUGGCGGGGUAACGGCCCACCAAGGCGACGAUCAGUAGGGGUUCUGAGAAGAAGGUCCCCCACAUUGGAACUGAGACACGGUCCAAACUCCUACGGGAGGCAGCAGUGAGGAAUAUUGGUCAAUGGGCGAGAGCCUGAACCAGCCAAGUAGCGUGCAGGAUGACGGCCCUAUGGGUUGUAAACUGCUUUUAUAAGGGAAUAAAGUGAGCCUCGUGAGGCUUUUUGCAUGUACCUUAUGAAUAAGGACCGGCUAAUUCCGUGCCAGCCGCCGCCGUAA
rnacentral:rRNA from 1 species